UUGAGGGCUUGAAGGAGUUUGUCACUCCAGACACAGACAUCAAGGUGACCCUGAGUAUCUUUGAGCUGGCAUCUGCUGCAGGUGUGGGCUGUGACAUUGACCCAGCCUUGGUGGCUGCCAUUGCUAAUCUGAAAGCUGAUACUUCAUCUCCUGAGGAGGAAUAUAAGGUGGCCUGCCUGCUCUUGAUCUUUCUGGCAGUUUCUCUCCCACUCCUUGCCACUGACCCUUCUUCCUUUUAUAGCAUUGAGAAGGAUGGUAAGUAAGGGGUUGGUUUGAGACACCAGUGCUAUUCAAGUUAGUGUCCUGGGGUAGAGAGAGGAGACAGAGACACUGCAAAAUAUAGACUUCUGACUUGGGUGUAAAGUUCUAUUUCAAAAAGCACUUGAAGGCUGGACACGGUGGCUCAUGCCUGUAAUCCUAGCACUUUGGGAGGCCAAGGUGAGGUGGGUAGAUCACUUGAGCCCAUGAGUUCCAGACCAGCCUAGGCAACAUGGUGAAACCCUGUUUCUACAAAAAUAAAUAAACUAGCCAGGCAGGGUGGCCUGUAGUCCCAGCUACCUGG
rnacentral:sRNA from 1 species